rnacentral:rRNA from 1 species
AUUGAACGCUGGCGGCAGGCUUAACACAUGCAAGUCGAACGGGGUGAUGGUGCUUGCACUAUCACUUAGCGGCGGACGGGUGAGUAAUGCUUAGGAAUCUGCCUAUUAGUGGGGGACAACAUCUCGAAAGGGAUGCUAAUACCGCAUACGUCCUACGGGAGAAAGCAGGGGAUCACUUGUGACCUUGCGCUAAUAGAUGAGCCUAAGUCUGAUUAGCUAGUUGGGGGGGUAAAGGCCUAACAAGGCGACGAUCUGUAGCGGGUCUGAGAGGAUGAUCCGCCACACUGGGACUGGGACACGACCCAGAAUCCUACGAGAGGCAGCAGUGGGAAAUAUUGGACAAUGGGGGGAACCCUGAUCCAGCCAUGCCGCGUGUGUGAAGAAGGCCUUAUGGUUGUAAAGCACUUGAAGCGAGGAGGAGGCUCUUUUGGUUAAUACCCAAAAUGAGUUGACGUUACUCGCAGAAUAAGCACCGGCUAACUCUGUGCCAGCCGCCGCGGUAA